rnacentral:tRNA from 1 species
GCCCCCGUGGUCCAACGGACACGACACCGCCCUCCGACGGCGGAGAUGCAGGUUCGACUCCUGCCGAGGGCA